rnacentral:misc_RNA from 1 species
GAUGAAGAACGCAGCGAAAUGCGAUACGUAAUGUGAAUUGCAAAUUCAGUGAAUCAUCGAGUCUUUGAACGCACAUUGCGUCCCCUGGUAUUCCGGGGGGCAUGCCUGUCCGAGCGUCAUUGCUGCCCUCAAGCACGGCUUGUGUGUUGGGCCCCGUCCUCCGAUCCCGGGGGACGGGCCCGAAAGGCAGCGGCGGCACCGCGUCCGGUCCUCGAGCGUAUGGGGCUUUGUCACCCGCUCUGUAGGCCCGGCCGGCGCUUGCCGAUCAACCCAAAUUUUUAUCCAGGUUGACCUCGGAUCAGGUAGGGAUACCCGCUGAACUUAAGCAUAUCAAUAAGCGGAGGA